UGGGAGAGUAAUUUAAAUAAGGUUAAAAUAUUAGUUUGUCAAACUGAGAAAUGCAAGUUCAAAUCUUGUCUCUCUCGA
rnacentral:tRNA from 1 species